UGGGGAAUCUUGCGCAAUGGGCGAAAGCCUGACGCAGCGACACCGCGUGGGGGAUGAAGGCCCUUAGGGUCGUAAACCCCUUUCGGCAGGGACGAAGCGAUCACGUGACGGUACCUGCAGAAGAAGCCUCGGCUAACUACGUGCCAGCAGCCGCGGUAACACGUAGGAGGCGAGCGUUGUCCGGAAUCAUUGGGCGUAAAGAGCGCGCAGGCGGCCCGGCAAGUCGGGUGUGAAAUCCCGGGGCUCAACCCCGGGACUGCAUCCGAUACUGUCGGGCUAGAGGUAGGUAGGGGAGAUCGGAAUUCCUGGUGUAGCGGUGAAAUGCGCAGAUAUCAGGAGGAACACCGGUGGCGAAGGCGGAUCUCUGGGCCUUACCUGACGCUCAGGCGCGAAAGCUAGGGGAGCGAACAGGAUUAGAUACCCUGGUAGUCCUAGCCGUAAACGUUGGGUGCUAGGUGUGGGCGGAUAUCGACCCCGUCCGUGCCGAAGCUAACGCAUUAAGCACCCCGCCUGGGGAGUACGGCCGCAAGGCUAA
rnacentral:rRNA from 1 species